UACGUAGGGGGCGAGCGUUGUCCGGAUUUAUUGGGCGUAAAACGCUUGUAGGCGGCCACCGCGCGUCGGCUGUGAAAUCUCCCGGCUCAACUGGGAGGGGUCAGGCGAUACGGCGGGGCUCGAGGCAGGUAGGGGGAAGCGGAAUUCCCGGUGUAGUGGUGGAAUGCGUAGAUAUCGGGAGGAACACCAGUGGCGAAGGCGGCUGCCUUCGA
rnacentral:rRNA from 1 species